AUCUACAGGUCGAGCAAGUCUCGUAAAUUUCACGAUUGCGAGCCACGCUUCACGCAACCGUGUUUGCGUACUUGUGUUUCAAGUUGCGUGGUCGUACGGAGUUAUAUUUACCAAAUUUAAAUAUAAUCGUUUUCAAAAUUAAAUCAAUAUGUCAAUAUGGCUACUGGGUGUAAAAGAUAAAUCUUAUUCUAUCUGUUCUUAAUGAGUUUUAGAUAAUUUUAGUUGUAUUUCUUUGUAAUUUUGUGUUGUACAAAGAUUAAUUUAACAUUUUCUCUGGAAGUAUUAAUUUAGAAAGAUAAUAUGCUUCAUUGGUGUUGUGUUUUGAAGUGUGAAAUGUGAUAAAGUCAAGAUAAAGUUCACUUUUAAACUGAACUAAAUAAGGUAUCUGAGAGACAACAAUGGUUAAAUGCAAUACAAUGUACAGGUUUUACUAGCGAAAUGAAAAUUUUCCUGUCCUGUCUGCUGUAAUCAUUUUAUAUCUGGAAAACCAGCCGACUUAAUAGAUAAUAACAAUCUCCAGAUUGGGUUCCUUCAAUAAAUAUGGUCUAUAAACACAAUGAAAUAAGUUCCCCAAAAUCUAAAAUGGAGUGGUAUCAAAGGAGAAUUAAAGGGAAAAAUAUUCAUAUUGAAAUUAUUUAUAAGGCACUGGACUGUCUUAAAUUCUACAAUAAUACUAGAAUCAGCUGAGAGAAGUGGUCUACAAAAAAACCAGGAAGGAAACGGAAUAUGUGGCUACGAAAGGCAAAAGAAAGGUUUACAAAGCAAAUGUGACACAUUUUUUUGAAAUAUUUAGGAAUAUCAGUAAAUUGCAUUAAAAAAAUGUAUGAAAAGAUU